rnacentral:rRNA from 1 species
GAUAAACGCUGGCGGCGUGCCUAACACAUGCAAGUCGAACGCUCUCUCGGGCAACCGAGGGGGAGUGGCGGACGGGUGAGGAACACGUAGGUGACCUACCCUGUGGUGAGGAAUACCUCCGAGAAAUCGGGGACAAUUCCGCAUACGCUCAUAAGAGCAAAGCUUCUCUUUCUGAGAGGUGCCAGAGGAUGGGCCUGCGUCUGAUUAGCUAGUUGGUAGGGUAAAAGCUUACCAAGGCUCUGAUCAGUAGCUGGUCUGAGAGGACGAUCAGCCACAC